UACGUAGGGUGCGAGCGUUAAUCGGAAUUACUGGGCGUAAAGCGUGCGCAGGCGGUUCGUUAUGUCCGAUGUGAAAGCCCCGAGCUUAACUUGGGAAUGGCAUUGGAAACUGGCGGGCUGGAGUGCGGCAGAGGGGGGUGGAAUUCCACGUGUAGCAGUGAAAUGCGUAGAGAUGUGGAGGAACACCGAUGGCGAAGGCAGCCCCCUGGGCCGACACUGACGCUCAGGCACGAAAGCGUGGGGAGCAAACAGG
rnacentral:rRNA from 1 species